rnacentral:rRNA from 1 species
CCUUACGAUGUCGACUUGGAGGUUGUGCCCUUGAGGCGUGGCUUCCGGAGCUAACGCGUUAAGUCGACCGCCUGGGGAGUACGGCCGCAAGGUUAAAACUCAAAUGAAUUGACGGGGGCCCGCACAAGCGGUGGAGCAUGUGGUUUAAUUCGAUGCAACGCGAAGAACCUUACCUGGUCUUGACAUCCACAGAACUUUCCAGAGAUGGAUUGGUGCCUUCGGGAACUGUGAGACAGGUGCUGCAUGGCUGUCGUCAGCUCGUGUUGUGAAAUGUUGGGUUAAGUCCCGCAACGAGCGCAACCCUUAUCCUUUGUUGCCAGCGGUCCGGCCGGGAACUCAAAGGAGACUGCCAGUGAUAAACUGGAGGAAGGUGGGGAUGACGUCAAGUCAUCAUGGCCCUUACGACCAGGGCUACACACGUGCUACAAUGGCGCAUACAAAGAGAAGCGACCUCGCGAGAGCAAGCGGACCUCAUAAAGUGCGUCGUAGUCCGGAUUGGAGUCUGCAACUCGACUCCAUGAAGUCGGAAUCGCUAGUAAUCGUGGAUCAGAAUGCCACGGUGAAUACGUUCCCGGGCCUUGUACACACCGCCCGUCACACCAUGGGAGUGGGUUGCAAAAGAAGUAGGUAGCUUAACCUUCGGGAGGGCGCUUACCACUUUGUGAUUCAUGACUGGGGUGAAGUCGUACAAGGGUAAAACAAUUAA